rnacentral:rRNA from 1 species
UACGUAGGGGGCAAGCGUUGUCCGGAAUUACUGGGCGUAAAGGGCGUGUAGGCGGCCGACCAAGUCCGGUGUGAAAAUCCAGGGCUCAACCCUGGACGUGCAUUGGAAACUGGUUGGCUUGAGUGCAGGAGAGGAAAGUGGAAUUCCCAGUGUAGCGGUGAAAUGCGUAGAUAUUGGGAGGAACACCAGUGGCGAAGGCGACUUUCUGGCCUGUAACUGACGCUGAGGCGCGAAAGCUAGGGGAGCAAACAGG